CCUAUCUGGUUGAUCCUGCCAGUAAUCAUAUGCUUGUCUCAAAGACUAAGCCAUGCAUGUCUAAGUCCAAGCUGUGUUCACACGGCGAGACCGCGGACGGCUCAUUAAAUCAGUCGUGGUCCAUAUGGGCCAGUGUUGAUCCUACUUGGAUAACUGUGGUAAUUCCAGAGCUAAUACAUGCAACUCUUAUUCUGAUGUAUGGUCGGUCGGUUCUCUCUCGUAGGGUCCGAUUGUUCUCCGCUGACGAAUGCUUUUAUUAGACCAAACCGCUGGGGAAUGUGGGUCUUUCUUCGGAGAGAUUCACGUUUGACCCGACAUAUGGUGACUCUGAAUAACCUUUUGACGAGCGCACGUAUCCCUCUUAUGAGCGGAACGGCGCUGCCACUUUCGAGUGUCUGCCUUAUCAGCUAUCAAUCGUUCGUUAUGCGCGACCGAUGGCUUUGACGGGUAACGGGGAAUCAGAGUUCGAUUCCGGAGAGGCAGCCUGAGAGACGGCUACCACGUCCAAGGACGGCAGCAGGCACGCAAAUUACCCAAUCCCAGUACCUGGGGGAGGUAGUGACGAAAUCUAACGAUGCGGGCGCCCUUUCUGGGGCCCCGCAAUCGGAAUGGGCACUUUCUAAACAACCUGUUGAGAACCUACUGAAGGGCAAGUCUGGUGCCAGCAGCCGCGGUAAUUCCAGCUUCAGCAGCAUCUAUUAAAGUUGCUGCGGUUAAAAGGCUCGCAGUUGAAUGUCAGUAACGGGCGCAGUGAAGGUGGACGCUGGGGUGUGGGAAUACAAGGCGUGUGUGUGUCUCGGGUUUAGCUGUUCCGCUCCCCUUUGUUGAGGAAAAGUUCGGCGGCUCUUGCGUGCAUGGGUCUCUCACAAACCCCCGUCCGUAACCAGCCUCCUCGCUCGCGUACAUAUCGAAUUCGUAAACAAAUGGAGUUGCGUUGCGGCUUGCGUCCGUUUCGAUUGGCGCUUGUUUGCGCGCGUUAAGGCUCUUUCGGGUUCACAGUCACCUUGAGUAAAUCAGAGUGCUCAAAGCAGUCGUAGGGGUCUCGUAUCCCGUAAACAGUCUUGACGGACUGACUUGGUUUUGCAUGGCAUGUCGGAAGACGACGUCGUGUGUUGGCUCAGGAAUGUAACCAGUGGUAAAAGCCAGCACCGACGUAAUGAUUAACAGGAACGGUCGAGGGCAUUGGUAUUGCGAGGCGAGAGGUGAAAUUCUAUGACCCCCGCAAGACCUCCUGAAGCGAAAGCGUCUGCCAUGGACGUUUUCAUUAAUCAUGAGCGAAAGUUAGAGGAUCGAAGGCGAUCAGAUACCGCCCUAGUUCUAACCCUAAACGAUGCCAACCAUCAAUCCGCGCGUAGCACCCUUCUUAACGGGCUCGGCGGGCAGCUCCUAUUCACGGGAAACCAGAGUCUCUGGGUUCCGGGGGGAGUCUGGUUGCAAAGCUGAAACUUAAAGGAAUUGACGGAAAGGCACCACCAGGCGUGGAGCUGCGGCUUAAUUUGACUCAACACGGGCCACCUCACCAGGCCAGCACUCUUGUAUGAUUGACAGAUUAAGAGCUCUUUCUCGAUUCAGUGGAUGGUGGUGCAUGGCCGUUCUUAGUUGGUGGAGUGAUCUGUCUGGUUAAUUCCGAUAACGAACGAGACUCUCCCCUGCUAACUAGUCGGUUGGAUCUUGCUCGGUGAGUCGUGUGCCGGGAACACUCGGGCGUCCGUGGCGCGUACGGGAAUUUGUGGUGGUCUGGUGUGUCGUUGGUGUUUGUGUAGCUACGGUUGCGCUUCAUCUCGGCGUGCUUUUCCGCUCUUUUUUUCACGCGUGUACACGGGUUUCGUUCGAACCUCGGGCCACACACUCCAAGUCCGCCGCUUAUGCUAUAACUCUUCUUAGAGGGAUUCACGGUACUGAAGCCGUCAGAAACUGAGAGCAAUAACAGGUCUGUGAUGCCCUUAGAUGCUCUGGGCCGCACGCGCGCUACAAUGCCGGGCACAGCAGGUAUCUCUCCCGCUCCGACAGGAGCGGGAAACCCUCUGAAAGCCCUUGGUUUUUCUCUCGUGUCUCUGAGAUACGAUCGGCGUGCUUGGGCCUGGGGCUUGAAAUUCUUUCCCACAAACGAGGAAUGCCUAGUAGCGGCGGGUCACUGAGCCCGCUGUGACUCAGUCCCUGCCCUUUGUACACACCGCCCGUCGCUACUACCGAUUGGGUGUACCAGUGAGAGCCUUGGACUGGCGUCCGUUGCCUUCGGGCAAGCGGUUUUCGACGGAAAGAGGUUCGAACUGGUGCACUUAGAGGAAGUAAAAGUCGUAACAAGGUUUCCGUAGGUGAACCUGCGGAAGGAUCAUUA
rnacentral:rRNA from 1 species